ACACCACAACGGGUGGAGCCUGCGGUUUAAUUGGAUUCAACGCCGGAAAGCUUACCGGGGGCGACAGCAAUAUGAAGGUCAGGCUGAAGACCUUACCGGAUUCGCUGAGAGGUGGUGCAUGGCCGUCGUCAGUUCGUACUGUGAAGCAUCCUGUUAAGUCAGGCAACGAGCGAGACCCACGCCCACAGUUGCCAGCGAUCCCUCCGGGGAGGCGGGUACUCUGUGGGGACCGCCGCUGCUAAGGCGGAGGAAGGAGUGGGCAACGGUAGGUCAGUAUGCCCCGAAUCCCCCGGGCUACACGCGGGCUACAAUGGUCGGUACAAUGGGUAUCGACCCCGAAAGGGGUAGGCAAUCCCCUAAAACCGAUCGUAGUUCGGAUUGAGGGCUGAAACUCGCCCUCAUGAAGCUGGAAUCCGUAGUAAUCGCGUUUCAACAGAACGCGGUGAAUACGUCCCUGCUCCUUGCACACACCGCCCGUCAAACCACCCGAGUAGGGUCCGGAUGAGGGUGUAUCCUCUUGAUACAUUCGAAUCCGGGCUUUGCAAGGGGGGUU
rnacentral:rRNA from 1 species